rnacentral:rRNA from 1 species
AACGAACGCUGGCGGCAUGCCUAACACAUGCAAGUCGAACGAGACCUUCGGGUCUAGUGGCGCACGGGUGCGUAACGCGUGGGAACCUGCCCUUAGGUUCGGAAUAACUCCCCGAAAGGGGUGCUAAUACCGGAUAAUGUCUUCGGACCAAAGAUUUAUCGCCUUUGGAUGGGCCCGCGUUGGAUUAGCUAGUUGGUAGGGUAAAAGCCUACCAAGGCGACGAUCCAUAGCUGGUCUGAGAGGAUGAUCAGCCACACUGGGACUGAGACACGGCCCAGACUCCUACGGAAGGCAGCAGUGGGGAAUAUUGGACAAUGGGGGAAGGCCUGAUACAGCAAUGCCGCGUGAGUGAUGAAGGCCUUAGGGAUGUAAAGCUCUUUUACCCGGGAUGAUAAUGACGGUACCGGGAGAAUAAGCUCCGGCUAACUCCGUG